GAGCUAAAAAGCUAGCUUCAAAAUUAAAACCAUAACAGCACUAUUUACGCUAAUUUACUAAACACUAAAAACCCCAACUAAACCAUUCUCCUGCCUUAGUACGGGCGACGGAAAAGG
rnacentral:rRNA from 1 species